CCCGCUGAGUUUAAGCAUAUCAAUAAGCGGAGGAAAAGAAACUAACAAGGAUUCCCUUAUUAACGGCGAGCGAACCGGGAAGAGCCCAUCUUGAAAAUCAGACGUCUUCGGCGUUCGAAUUGUAGUCUGGAGAAGCGUCCUCAGCGAUGGACCAGGCCCAAGUUCCCUGGAAAGGGGCGCCAGAGAGGGUGAGAGCCCCGUCAUGCCCCUUUCCAAUCACACGUUCCGCCCCAAAACGUUAAAAAGAAUAAACCCAAAAAAGUCAAGUAUAUA
rnacentral:ncRNA from 2 species